rnacentral:rRNA from 1 species
UGGGGAAUUUUGGACAAUGGGCGAAAGCCUGAUCCAGCAAUGCCGCGUGUGUGAAGAAGGCCUUCGGGUUGUAAAGCACUUUUGUCCGGAAAGAAAUCCUUGGCUCUAAUACAGUCGGGGGAUGACGGUACCGGAAGAAUAAGCACCGGCUAACUACGUGCCAGCAGCCGCGGUAAUACGUAGGGUGCAAGCGUUAAUCGGAAUUACUGGGCGUAAAGCGUGCGCAGGCGGUUUGCUAAGACCGAUGUGAAAUCCCCGGGCUCAACCUGGGAACUGCAUUGGUGACUGGCAGGCUAGAGUAUGGCAGAGGGGGGUAGAAUUCCACGUGUAGCAGUGAAUGCGUAGAGAUGUGGAGGAAUACCGAUGGCGAAGGCAGCCCCCUGGGCCAAUACUGACGCUCAUGCACGAAAGCGUGGGGAGCAAACAGGAUUAGAUACCCUGGUAGUCCACGCCCUAAACGAUGUCAACUAGCUGUUGGGGUCUUCGGACCUUGGUAGCGCAGCUAACGCGUGAAGUU